AAGACUAUAGACCUGCGGAGUACCUGCGGAAGGAUCAUUAAAGAGUUGCAAGACUCCCAAACCAUUGUGAACGUUACCCACACCGUUGCUUCGGCGGGCGGCCCGGGCCCUGCCCGGCGCCCCCCGGCCCCUCGCGGGCGCCCGCCGGAGGUAAACCAAACUCUUGAAUUGUAUGGCCUCUCUGAGUCUUCUGUACUGAAUAAGUCAAAACUUUUAACAAUGGAUCUCUAGAUCGGAAGA
rnacentral:misc_RNA from 1 species